rnacentral:rRNA from 1 species
GACGAACGCUGGCGGCGGGCCUAAUACAUGCAAGUAGAACGCAGGUGCGAACGGGUGAGUAACGCGUAGGUAACUGCCUAAUAGCGGGGGAGAACCAGUGGAAACGAUAGCUCAUACCGCAUACAGUGAGGUGGACCGGCGUCUUAUUAGCUAGUUGGUGAGGUAAAGGCGCAACAAGGCGACGAUGCACAGCCGACCUGAGAAGGUGAUCGGCCACACUGGGACUGGUACACGGCCCAGGCUCCUACGGGAGGCAGCAGUAGGGAAUCUUCGGCAAUUGGCGGAAGUCUGACCGAGCAACGCCGCGUGAGUGAAGAAGGUUUUCGGAUCGUAAAGCUCUGUUGUUAGAGAAGCGGUACCUAACCAGAAAGGGACGGCUAACUACGUGCCAGCAGCCGCGGUAAUAC